rnacentral:rRNA from 1 species
UAACAAGGAUUCCCCUAGUAACUGCGAGUGAAGAGGGAAAAGCUCAAAUUUAAAAUCUGGCGGGCUCUGCUCGUCCGAGUUGUAAUCUGGAGAAGCGUUUUCCGCGUCGGACCGUGCAUAAGUCUCCUGGAACGGAGCGUCAUAGAGGGUGAGAAUCCCGUCCAUGGCACGGACCGCCGAUGCUUUGUGAUACGUUUUCAAAGAGUCGAGUUGUUUGGGAAUGCAGCUCAAAACGGGUGGUAAAUUCCAUCUAAAGCUAAAUAUUGGCGAGAGACCGAUAGCGAACAAGUACCGUGAGGGAAAGAUGAAAAGCACUUUGGAAAGAGAGUUAAACAGUACGUGAAAUUGUUGAAAGGGAAACGCUUGAAGUCAGUCGCGUCCGACGGAACUCAGCCUUGCUUCGGCCUGGUGUACUUUCUGUCGGACGGGUCAACAUCAGUUUUGACCGGUGGAAAAAGGUAGGGGGAAUGUAGCGCCGCCUCGGUGGCGUGUUAUAGCCCCUUGCUGUAUGCAUCGGUCGGGACUGAGGACCGCAGCACGCCUUUUUGGCCGGGGGUUCGCCCUACGUACCGUGCUUAGGAUGUUGGCAUAAUGGCUUUAAGCGACCCGUCUUGAAACACGGACCAAGGAGUCCAACAUGCUUGCGAGUGUUCGGGUGGAAAACCCCUGCGCGUAAUGAAAGUAACAGUUGGGAACCUCCGCAAGGGGGUGCACCGACGCCCGGCCCUGAAGUUCUCUGACGGUGCUGCGGUAGAGCAAGUAUGCUGGGACCCGAAAGAUGGUGAACUAUGCCUGAAUAGGGCGAAGCCAGAGGAAACUCUGGUGGAGGCUCGUAGCGAUUCUGACGUGCAAAUCGAUCGUCAAAUUUGGG